rnacentral:Y_RNA from 1 species
AGCUGGUCUGAGUGCAGUGGUGUUUACAACUAAUCACAACCAGUUACAAAUUCCUUUGUUCCUUCUUCACUCCCACUGCUUUCACUUGACUAGCCUUAA